CAGUUGACACGGCCGUUAGGUUGUCACAGCUUAAAUGUACAAGGAAAUAUUUCACUCAUUUUGAGUUGUACAAUUCACAUGGUUCAUAAUACAAACAAUAUUUAGUUUGGAGAAGACAAAUAAAAAAAGCUGCUGGUGUCUGUAGGUUUAGUUUCACAGUGUAUUCGGUUUGUGAAUCGUUUUUUAGAAGUUCAUUCCCUGCUGUUUCAUCUCAUAUUUCUUUCAUAUCAGCAAACAGUCGAUCUCGGUCAGUGACCAUUCCUAUGCUUGUAUUCUGUGUGGAGUAACUGACACCGGAACUCCAUCAGACUGUUCAGUUGAGAUCAGGGAAGAACCUGUUUGCAUCCAAACCCACCUGAGUAACACAGUAGAAUGUUCGGUGUCUGGAGCGACCCCAGAGCUGAUGGGGAACAUGACUAGGCUACAAUACAACUCCUUCUUGGACAACUGUCAUUACUUCAUGGAGUGAGCUUGUGCGGAUACAGUUGUUCCACUGUGGUGAGAUUCGAAAUCGGAAACUAUCAAGACUACUGACUUACGAAUAAAUGAAAACUCACAUUGUCUCCCAUAUUGUUG